GAUCUUUUGACUGAUUACUAUAAGGAGAAAAGCAAAGUGAUUGAGAGGGAGUCUAAACGAGCAAAGGCUAAGAAGAAUUACAAUUCUGAUGAAGAUGACAAUGGCAAAGAAGCUUUACUAUCAAGAAAAAUUAAUGAGUGCCACAAUCAGAUGAGAGAAAUGAGUGGUGAGGAAGAGAUCUCCACAUGGGGUGUACAGGUUUUUGGAAAUCAGAAACCCCCACCGCCUCUUGUUUUUCCUGAGCUUGGAAGUUGCUCCUUAUUGCAGUCUUUUAUGAGCAAUAAACACCACACUUUGAUCGAACUGAGUACAGAAAAUGGGGACAAUUUUCUAGAAGGAU
rnacentral:misc_RNA from 1 species